AUUGAACGCUGGCGGCAUGCUUUACACAUGCAAGUCGGACGGCAGCACAGAGGAGCUUGCUUCUUGGGUGGCGAGUGGCGAACGGGUGAGUAACGCAUCGGAACGUACCGAGUAAUGGGGGAUAACUGUCCGAAAGGACAGCUAAUACCGCAUACGCCCUGAGGGGGAAAGCGGGGGAUCUUAGGACCUCGCGUUAUUCGAGCGGCCGAUGUCUGAUUAGCUGGUUGGCGGGGUAAAGGCCCACCAAGGCGACGAUCAGUAGCGGGUCUGAGAGGAUGAUCCGCCACACUGGGACUGAGACACGGCCCAGACUCCUACGGGAGGCAGCAGUGGGGAAUUUUGGACAAUGGGCGCAAGCCUGAUCCAGCCAUGCCGCGUGACUGAAGAAGGCCUUCGGGUUGUAAAGGACUUUUGUCAGGGAAGAAAAGGGGCAUGUUAAUACCGUGCUCUGAUGACGGUACCUGAAGAAUAAGCACCGGCUAACUACGUG
rnacentral:rRNA from 1 species